rnacentral:rRNA from 1 species
UACGUAGGGGGCAAGCGUUGUCCGGAAUCAUUGGGCGUAAAGCGCGUGUAGGCGGCUCGGUAAGUCUGCUGUGAAAGUCCAGGGCUCAACCCUGGGAUGCCGGUGGAUACUGUCGAGCUCGAGUCCGGAAGAGGCGAGUGGAAUUCCUGGUGUAGCGGUGAAAUGCGCAGAUAUCAGGAAGAACACCCGUGGCGAAGGCGGCUCUCUGGGACGGUACUGACGCUGAGACGCGAAAGCGUGGGGAGCGAACAGG